GUAGUGGCAAGCGUUGUCCGGAAUUAUUGGGGCGUAAAGCGCGCGCAGGCGGUUCGUUUAAGUCUGAUGUGAAAGCCCACGGGCUCAACCGUGGAGGGUCAUUGGAAACUGGAGAACUUGAGUACAGAAGAGGAAAGCGGAAUUCCACGUGUAGCGGUGAAAUGCGUAGAGAUGUGGAGGAACACCAGUGGCGAAGCGGCUUUCUGGUCUGUAACUGACGCUGAGGCGCGAAAGCGUGGGGAGCAAACAGGAUUAGAUACCCUGGUAGUCCACGCCGUAAACGAUGAGUGCUAAGUGUUAGGGGGUUUCCGCCCCUUAGUGCUGCAGCUAACGCAUUAAGCACUCCGCCUGGGGAGUACGGCCGCAAAGGCUGA
rnacentral:rRNA from 1 species